CGGUGGUGUCAUAUAGCGGCCUGGUGUGGCUAGAAGGAGAAGUUGCAGAGGGCUAGGUCACCAUCUACAGGCGAGAAUCCAGCCAGCCUAAUCCAAGCUACAAACAAAUCAGGACUGACGACGAGGAAGCUUGUCCUGAAAUGACGGGCUAUGAGCAUUACUUGUGAGACUUGAACUUGUGUAUUUCUCCGCCUGCAAGUUUUACGGAGAACCGUCAGAACUGUCUCAGGCUGGCCGGUGAGGAAUCUCGAUUAUACGAUUUACACGUUGUUUCUG
rnacentral:lncRNA from 1 species